UUUCCGGUUGAAGUCAGGUGCGUAUUAUCAUUGCUGAUAACUGUUUAAAGUCUGAAUCAUUUGUACGUUUGUAAUAAGGGCCCGUGUAAGUCAGUACGCUUCAAGCGUUUGAAUAACAGUCUGUAUCAUUUGUACGUUUGUAAUAAGGGCCCGUGCAAAUCAAAAUCGGAGACCCCAAGGGAAUGUUCAGUUUUUCAGCGGACAGAUGGGCAUGAGGUCAUCCCAGUUUCCCUUGAUUUGCAUGAGGACCAAGCUGAGCAUGAGGGGGAGGAAGAGGUAGAUGAGGAAGAUCUUCAGGAAGGGGCAACAUUCACGCCAGAUUCCCAGUCUGAUGAUGAGGAUGAGGAUCUCUCCAGGAGAGACCUUCUUGCUCUCCAGCAAAAGUCAUACAGACUUUUCAUUGAAAACUUAAGAAACUAGUUGAAUAUGGAAUAACAAAUACAAAAACUGAAAUGAG